GACGAACGCUGGCGGCGUGCUUAACACAUGCAAGUCGUACGGUAAGGCCCUUUCGGGGGUACACGAGUGGCUAACGGGUGAGUAACACGUGAGUAACCUGCCCACAACUUUGGGAUAACGCUAGGAAACUGGUGCAAAUACUGGAUAUGUGCUCCUGCUGCAGGGUGGGGGUUGGAAAGCUCCGGCGGUUGUGGAUGGACUCGCGGCCUAUCAGCUUGUUGGUGGGGUAGUGGCCUACCAAGGCGGCGACGGGUAGCCGGCCUGAGAGGGUGACCGGCCACAUUGGGACUGAGAUACGGCCAAGACUCCUACGGGAGGCAGCAGUGGGGAAUAUUGAACAAUGGGCGCAAGCCUGAUGCAGCAACGCCGCGUGCGGGAUGACGGCCUUCGGGUUGUAAACCGCUUUCAGCAGGGACGAAGCUUUUUGUGACGGUACCUGCAGAAGAAGCACCGGCUAACUACGUG
rnacentral:rRNA from 1 species